CAGCCGCCGCGGGAAUACAGAGGGUGCGAGCGUUAAUCGGAUUUACUGGGCGUAAAGCGUGCGUAGGCGGCUUUUUAAGUCGGAUGUGAAAUCCCUGAGCUUAACUUAGGAAUUGCAUUCGAUACUGGGAAGCUAGAGUAUGGGAGAGGAUGGUAGAAUUCCAGGUGUAGCGGUGAAAUGCGUAGAGAUCUGGAGGAAUACCGAUGGCGAAGGCAGCCAUCUGGCCUAAUACUGACGCUGAGGUACGAAAGCAUGGGGAGCAAACAGGAUUAGAGACCCGCGUAGUCCCUGUCUCUUAUAA
rnacentral:rRNA from 1 species